ACUACGGGGGGCAGCAGUGAGGAAUAUUGGUCAAUGGGCGGAAGCCUGAACCAGCCAAGUAGCGUGCAGGAUGACGGCCCUACGGGUUGUAAACUGCUUUUAUACGGGAAUAACGCGCCUUACGUGUAGGGCUUUGCAUGUACCGUAUGAAUAAGGACCGGCUAAUUCCGUGCCAGCAGCCGCGGUAAUACGGAAGGUCCGGGCGUUAUCCGGAUUUAUUGGGUUUAAAGGGAGCGUAGGCCGCAUGUCAAGCGUGCUGUGAAAUGUCCGGGCUCAACCCGGGCCUUGCAGCGCGAACUGGCGUGCUUGAGUCCGCGGAAAGCAGGCGGAAUUCGUCGUGUAGCGGUGAAAUGCUUAGAUAUGACGAAGAACCCCGAUUGCGAAGGCAGCUUGCUGCAGCGGAACUGACGCUGAUGCUCGAAAGCGCGGGUAUCGAACAGGAUUAGAUACCCUAGUAGUC
rnacentral:rRNA from 1 species